rnacentral:rRNA from 1 species
AGAGUUUGAUCCUGGCUCAGAUUGAACGCUGGCGGCAGGCCUAACACAUGCAAGUCGAGCGGUAGCACAGAGGAGCUUGCUCCUUGGGUGACGAGCGGCGGACGGGUGAGUAAUGUCUGGGAAACUGCCUGAUGGAGGGGGAUAACUACUGGAAACGGUAGCUAAUACCGCAUAACCUCGCAAGAGCAAAGAGGGGGACCUUAGGGCCUCUCGCCAUCAGAUGUGCCCAGAUGGGAUUAGCUAGUAGGUGAGGUAAUGGCUCACCUAGGCGACGAUCCCUAGCUGGUCUGAGAGGAUGACCAGCCACACUGGAACUGAGACACGGUCCAGACUCCUACGGGAGGCAGCAGUGGGGAAUAUUGCACAAUGGGCGCAAGCCUGAUGCAGCCAUGCCGCGUGUGUGAAGAAGGCCUUCGGGUUGUAAAGCACUUUCAGCGAGGAGGAAGGCGGUAAGGUUAAUAACCUUAUCGAUUGACGUUACUCGCAGAAGAAGCACCGGCUAACUCCGUGCCAGCAGCCGCGGUAAUACGGAGGGUGCAAGCGUUAAUCGGAAUGACUGGGCGUAAAGCGCACGCAGGCGGUCUGUUAAGUUGGAUGUGAAAUCCCCGGGCUUAACCUGGGAACUGCAUUCAAAACUGACAGGCUAGAGUCUUGUAGAGGGGGGUAGAAUUCCAGGUGUAGCGGUGAAAUGCGUAGAGAUCUGGAGGAAUACCGGUGGCGAAGGCGGCCCCCUGGACAAAGACUGACGCUCAGGUGCGAAAGCGUGGGGAGCAAACAGGAUUAGAUACCCUGGUAGUCCACGCUGUAAACGAUGUCGAUUUGGAGGUUGUGCCCUUGAGGCGUGGCUUCCGGAGCUAACGCGUUAAAUCGACCGCCUGGGGAGUACGGCCGCAAGGUUAAAACUCAAAUGAAUUGACGGGGGCCCGCACAAGCGGUGGAGCAUGUGGUUUAAUUCGAUGCAACGCGAAGAACCUUACCUACUCUUGACAUCCAGAGAAUUCGCUAGAGAUAGCUUAGUGCCUUCGGGAACUCUGAGACAGGUGCUGCAUGGCUGUCGUCAGCUCGUGUUGUGAAAUGUUGGGUUAAGUCCCGCAACGAGCGCAACCCUUAUCCUUUGUUGCCAGCGAUUCGGUCGGGAACUCAAAGGAGACUGCCGGUGAUAAACCGGAGGAAGGUGGGGAUGACGUCAAGUCAUCAUGGCCCUUACGAGUAGGGCUACACACGUGCUACAAUGGCGUAUACAAAGAGAAGCGACCUCGCGAGAGCAAGCGGACCUCAUAAAGUACGUCGUAGUCCGGAUUGGAGUCUGCAACUCGACUCCAUGAAGUCGGAAUCGCUAGUAAUCGUAGAUCAGAAUGCUACGGUGAAUACGUUCCCGGGCCUUGUACACACCGCCCGUCACACCAUGGGAGUGGGUUGCAAAAGAAGUAGGUAGCUUAACCUUCGGGAGGGCGCUUACCACUUUGUGAUUCAUGACUGGGGUGAAGUCGUAACAAGGUAACCGUAGGGGAACCUGCGGUUGGAUCACCU